GCCAUGUGGCGCAACCAGUUAGCACGUUCGGCUGUUAACCGAAAGGUUGGUGGUUCUAGCCCACGCGGAGGUG
rnacentral:tRNA from 1 species